UACGUAGGGGGGCUAGCGUUGUCCGGAUUUAUUGGGCGUAAAGAGCGUGUAGGCGGCCAGGUAGGUCCGUUGUGAAAACUCGAGGCUCAACCUCGAGACGCCGGCGGAAACCCUUUGGCUAGAGUCCGGAAGAGGAGAGUGGAAUUCCUGGUGUAGCGGUGAAAUGCGCAGAUAUCAGGAGGAACACCAAUGGCGAAGGCAGCUCGCUGGGACGGUACUGACGCUAAGGCGCGAAAGCGUGGGGAGCGAACAGG
rnacentral:rRNA from 1 species